UUCCAAAAUCUCCAUUUUUUCUUUACUUCUGAGUUCUGAUGCUCACCGUAAAGCACUGUUAAAAGUCCUGAAUGAUGCUCAUGUGAUGCACGAUAUCACGGUCGAUCAAUUUGAUGACGUGUGUAAGACCCCAAUUUUGACCCUAAGAUCCCUCAUGAUAUACCAUCAUAUGCAUUGGCAUUGGGAUCACACCUUGACAUCCUCCUUCCCCCUCAUUCAUUGGGUUUGCAUUGAGAGAGAUCACCAAGCACCAUUUAAUUGUAUCAUACUUUGUAUUUUCUCAUUUUUACUAACCAAAAUACCAAAAAUAUGUCUUUGCAUAAUCUAACUCUUUUGUAGGUAGAGUACAUGCUCACCUUUGGUCUAUCAAGCUCACAUCUAGGGUUUAAGACCCUCAGUGCAAGGAGUUCAAUCAAGAAUUGGUAUACUAUGGCUCUAGGCAUCAUAUAUGGAUCCCCAUGAGAAUCACAUGUUAUUUUGAUCAAGAACUCAUCAAGAGUUUGGAAUUGUUUUGUAGUGGAAACACUAGUUCAUAUGGGUAUCUUGUGUAACUUCUUCAACAAUUGAUCAAAGAUUUCAAGGGAUACUUCAAAUUUCUUCAUAUUAUGAAUAUAUGAUUUCCCAUGAGUCCCUAAAGUUAAGAGAAUUGCAAGUUAGCAAGUUGGUUGAUGGUGGUUGACUAGAGGAAUUCAACUAAUCAAAAUUGGGGUUCCCUAGACCCUAUCUCCUACAAUAUUUGUCAUAUGAAAAUGAUUCCAAAAGAAACGUUACUGUAAGUGACAUUACAAACAACUUUCAUGUUGAGGUCUAGAGCUAGUUUUUCUUGGAAAGUCAUCUUUUAUGGUGAAAGAUUAUAGGUCAUUUUGUCUAAACCCUAAUUUGGAGGUCAACUUCCCAAGGUCAUAACUUGCUCAAUUAUUAUGAGAUGAAAGAUUUCCAAGUUUCACAAUCAAAUUCAAUAUGUCUACUUCAACUUUGAUGUUUGGAGGAAGAGCAAAUUCAACUUUUAUGAGCAUGUGAUAUGAGGAUACAUUAUAGGUCAUUUUGGACCAAUACCAUUGAACAAGUGAUUUUCCUCAACUUCAAAAAUGCAUACCUCCUUCAUAUCAAAUCCAAAUGAGGUAAAACUUAUAACCAUUUUGAAGUACUUUGAAAUAGAUACAACUUUGAUGAAGGAACUUCUCUCAUUUGAAACUCACACAAAAAGUUAGCCAAGGUGGAAUAAGUGAACAUAUGGCGUGACACUUAGAAAAAAAUUUGAUAUGUUAAAAUUUCCAAACUUCCACCUCAAAUUUCAUCAUUAUACAAGCUUCAAAUGGAUAAGUGUUCAACAUUAAAGUUGUUCCUAUUGAUCUAACCUUUCCAAAAAGUCCAAUUUCAUCCAUUUUGGACAAGAUUUGAAUGGGCUGCACAUGGCUUGAACAUUGUAUCAUCAUUUGGCAAAAUCAAACUUCAAACUUCCAUGUACAUUUGUCUUGCAUUCCAAGUUGAUUUUAGACUUGCUCACACUCAAUUAUGGAUCAAAUGGAAUGAUCUCAUGGGCAUGUACACGUCCAUGCACACAUGCAUCACUCAUUGCCAAUUUUGGAAACUCAAUUGUAAGGUGCAAAUAUCAUGUGAUUCAGCUAUAAAUAGAGGCUCAUAUGCUCAGAAUUAAGGACUCCUUCGCGCGAGCUUUGAUCCCAAACAUAAAACCCUUCCAUUUGAUAGGAUAAUCCUGACAAUUUCCUUUGGAAAUUGAGUUUGAAUCUCACUGUUUUGAGAUUCAAAACUCCAGGGAUCCAAGACCUUUUGUACAUUUUAAUCUACUUCUGCAAGCAUCCUAAGAAAUAUCAAGCACAAGCCAAAGCAAGAACAAGUGAAUCCAGACCUGCAUUGAAGGUAUUUUCCAGAAAAUUUCAUCUCUUCGAUUCUCACUCAAUUCUCCAUAAUUCUCUUGGAUCCUUGGUAGUCUGAAGUCCUAGCAAUAUAGGCAACAAGAUUGAGUUGCUUUGAGGUCAAAUUGAAGCAACUCAGAUCAUGCACCUCAAAUUUCAACUCCUUGUAUCUCUCAAUAUACUUGGAGUUGGGAUAAAUUGAGGCCAGAUUCGUGCUCAGUGCCAUUUUCACUUUAAAAUCAUGUCCUCUAUUUUUAUUUUAGUGAAGGUUAUGAUUGGACCAGUCCGGCGAGGCUCGCCUGAGAAGGAGACCGGAGAUUUGCUCUGGUGGUGAGUUAGCAAGGUCCAGAGCCACAUGAUCUGUUUGAUUUGUUCUAAUCACGAGUGUUGGUUUGAAUUACCAAGUUUGUGGCGCGCUGACUAGAGUCCACAAUGGAUUGCGCGUUUGUGGCCACUUGAUUUACCACCUCAAUUAAUGAAAUUUUUCUACAAGGUCCUUUAACCUUGUUUGACCUAUGAUAAAUCUCAUCGUCAUUUCUUUGGUGUCAAUUUAAUGCAUAUUUUAGUUGAUUUUAAUUGAAUAAAUGUCAAAUAAAUUGUGUUGAGCUUCUAUUAUUGACUUAUUGAGUUUGACUUGUGUUGUUGGGCCUUGGUCAAGGUUGAUUUUACUUUUCUAAGUUAAGAUCAUUGGAUUUAGGGGAAUGAUGAAAUGUACAUUUCAUCUCCCAAAAUGAAUGAAUGAUCUUAAUUUGGUAAAAGUCCUUGUUUUACCAAUUUGUGUUGAUUUCAUUCCCCCUCCCUCUUGAUCUCAUUACUCUUCUUUAUUCAUUCAUGUCAUGGACCUAUGAUAUCUCUAUAUCCUAAGGCUAGUUGAUUGCAAAAUCAACAUGAGUAUGGAUGAGAUUAGAUCCACCACACUUUUGCAUAUUCUUUUUGCGUGUGGUAUCUUUCGUGAGCAUAGUCCAUUAUAUUAUGUCUCUAACAUGCAUUAACACCAAACUUCUAUUGCCUGGUCUCAAAUAGUUGUGAAUUCUGCAUAAGUCCAAUUACGAUUGCUUAACAUAACGCUAAAUUUGUGACACAAAAGGCAUAGCAUUCUAGUAAGUAAGAUUGUAAGUCUCCCCUCUUUCAUGGUAUUGUAUGGAAACUUGGCCUUUUUUUCCUUCCUUUGGAAGAUGUCUUGGUUCAAGGAUCCAUGCAUGUGAAUAGUGGGUUGAGUGUUCUCCAAAGAAUGACUUAAACAAUACAAAGCAAAAGCAAUACUAACUUCUAAUCAACUAACAACUAACCUUUAAUUUCAAGCCAUUUACUUUUAUGCACUUUAAUUUCAAGCUUUAUUCAUUUGCCAUUAUUCAUACCGUUCAAUUUAUUUACUUUAAUGCCAUUUUCAAUUUUCCACUUGGGCCAUAAUUUGUGAUAUAUUGUGUUUGUAUAUACUUGUUUGUUUGUAUGGUCUUUUGACCUUAAUGUACAUAAUAAAAACAAAAACCCUAAAAGACAUUUGUGCGGACUGUUGGAUUUGAUCUGAGACAAUGGACUUAGAAUUAGGAAACACUCCCUAUGCAAAAGGACUUGUCCAAUGCCAACUUUCAUGAAACCAAGUGCUUGUGAAGUGAAUUUUCAACUGAAGCAAGUAUUGUGAUCCCAUCUGAGUUCAUCUGUUACAUGGUCUUAUUGAAGCUGUUACUUUGAACCUGUGUCUAAUGCCUACUUUUGGAAGUCAUCUGAUGCAUGGGAAAUUUUGAAGAAGAUCAUGGAGUUGCUAAGCUUGGAUGGGGCUAUCUUUAUUUGAUGCCUUGAUCUUCAUCUUUCUAUUUGUGUAUUGAUAUUGCUUGAUUCUAAAGUCCAAGGGAAAUUUGGGUUUCUAUAUGACAUUCUUGUCUAUUGGAUUGCAGCCCAUUGGUUAGAUAUUUUCAACUCUUAACUUUUAAAUUUGUGCUUAGGAUUAGUAUCUUCAUCUCUCCCCCAUUUAUUUAAUUUCAAAUCUCUCUCUACUUUCAAAAAUCUUCUUUGCUAGUGUUUGUUUUCUAAACUUAUACCAUUUUGCAAAUUAGAAACUUUGGCCUUAUGCCAUUGCAUUUUUAAAACUCUUUUCUUUGUCAAAUUUGUAAAUGAACUUAACUAUACUUGACUUAAAAUUUCAAAAGCGAAAAAGAACUAACACUCAUUCCAACCAUUUUUAGGCCUCUUGUGCCUUUGUUAAACUUAAAUUUUGUUAAAAGAAAUCCACUCACUUUGAAAUUGAUACCACAAACUACGAGGUUUUGAUCCCUCAUUUUAUGUUGGUACGUAGGCAUAAGUCUGAAGGUCUUAUCAAACACAAAAAUACAAUUAAUGAAUUAUUUUCUCAUCCCCCCACUCUAUUUAUUGCAAACAUCAUUUGGUACAAAAACACAUAUGCACACAAGAAAGGGCUCCCUAGGAGUACCUAGGACACUUUGGGUGCUAACACCUUCCCUCUGUGUAACCAACCCCCUUACCUGUAAUCUCUGGCAUUUUAUUAGUUUUGAUAGGGUGCUAACACCUUCCCUCUGUGUAACCAACCCCCUUACCUGUAAUCUCUGGCAUUUUAUUAGUUUUGAUUUGAAAAUUUCUUAUUUUUGGGUUUUGUUCGUACUUUUCCCUUUUCCCUUGGAAACGAUAAAAGCGCGAUGGCGACUCUGGUUUUAUUGACGUCUAGCUUAUCUAUAGCUUGAUGGUCAUGAAUUUACCGCCAUAGAAAUUAAGUGGCGACUCUACUGGGGAGUAGUCUCCAGUGGGUUUAGCCUACUUUUUCGUGUGUAUAUAAUUGUAUAUUUUGAUGUAUGUAUAUUUGUUUGUGUGAUAUAAUGUACUUGUUGUGCUUGGUGAUCUCUGAGUGGUGAAAUAAGUUCUAACAUGGACUUGAGUGAAAUUACGAUAAGAGGAUGGUAUAGUCAUGUUCGACUUGUGUGGAGUAGUCCUUAACAAGUUGGAUUGAGACCCAUCUACUCAGUGGAUACCCUUUUGGAGUUAUGAAUGUUACACAAGUUAUUUGUGGUUAGGCAUUACUUCCUCUGAUUUGGGGUCCGAGAAGUUGAGGACCGUAGAACAUUUAACCCAUCUUGGCCUAUUUAAGACGUAGUGCGGAGACUGUUCAAAUGUAGACUUGAUAAUAGUUGUCACGCGAUACUACACUCAGACGAGUUUCUCUUGAGAUAUUAUGGGUUGAUGAGUCAGUCAUCCUAACUUGUAAUAUCCGAUAGAUGGAAUUAAGACUCUGGGAACUUUUUAGAACAUGAUCUACAGGUUCUUAUCCUUAGUACACUCCUUUGGGAUGGUUCUUACCCAGACUCCAUGCUCGUGACUCACAACAAACCCUUUGAUUCUUGGUUGAUCCAAUCAAGUCUUGUCAAUAUCAAUGGAACUUAGGUGUUGAUAAGGCGAAAAACAUAAUCCACUAAAAUGGAUGAUUGAUCUUGACAAUGCCUUGAUUCAUCCCUUGACCUUUGUUUGGUUUCCUUGUGUGUGAUCCCUUAUUUGUGAUUGUUGCAUUCAUGCAUUCAUGCGCAUCAUAACAUUCAUCACACGAAAAAUAAUUUCAAGAAACUGAGGUCUUAUUUGUAACUAUUUUCAGACCAUGGAUUGUGGACGUAGGAACACUAAGAAGUACAGUUUUAGAAGUCCGGAUUUGAAAGAGUUAAGGAAGGUAUCAUCUUUUGUAUUAGGUCUCUUGGACUUCAAGCUACGUCAUGGGAAGCUUCUAUCUAUUUUGUGUGCUGAUGUGGUUGAAGGAAUUUUGAGUGUGUUGGUUCAGUUAUAUGACCCUCUCUACCGUUGCUUCACUUUUCCUGAUUAUCAGCUUGUGUCUACGUUGGAGGAGUAUUCCCGUCUGUUGGGAAUACUUGUUUCUGACAUAGUGCCUUUUAGUGGAUUGGAAGAGAUUCCCAGAUCUCAUCUUAUAGCUGAAGCUCUUCAUCUGAAGAAGUCUGAGAUAGAGGCUCAUUGGGUGAAGAAAGUAGGAUUAUUUGGGUUGACUUCUGAUUUCCUCAUCAAGGAAGCUACUGCCUUUGCUCAAGCCGGUAGUGUGGACGCUUUUGAAACCAUCUUUGUGCUGCUCAUCUAUGGAUUAGCUUUGUUCCCUAACAUUGACGGUUUUGUUUAUGUUAACGUCAUUAGAAUAUUCUUGAUUGGGAAUCAUGUGCCUACUCUUUUGGGUGAUAUGUACUUAUCUUUCCAUCUAAGGAAUUCUAAGGGUGGUGGAACUAUCGUCUUUGCGUUCCUCUUCUGUACAAGUGGUUUAUUUUGCACUUGUCUCAGACGCCUACUUUUGUGGAGAAUAAACAAUGUCUAAGGUGGUCUCAGAGACUUAUGUUUCUCACUAAUGAUGAUAUAGUUUGGUAUGAUUCUUCAUUGGGUAGCUUGGAGAUUAUUGACAGUUGUGGUGAAUUCUCUAAUGUACUUCUCAUUGGUACACAAGGAGGAAUCAACUAUAACUCUACUUUGGCUCGUCGUCAACUUGGAUUCCCCUUCAGAGAUAAACCUAAUAACACUUUGUUAGAAGGUCUUUUCUAUCAAGAGGGUAAAGAUCCCCAUCGUUUGAAGCAGAAUAUUAUGCAUGCUUGGCAUAAUGUGCAUAAGAAAGGAAGAUCCGAGCUUGGUCCGCGCAAUUGUGUAGCUUUGGAAGCUUACACUCUUUGGGUGAAGAAGAGAGCUUUGGAGUUGAAGAUGCCUUAUGCUUGUGAAAGACCUGUGUCUAUGGUUGUGGUUGAGCCAUUAACUCUCCCUAACCAAGAUGUAGUGGAGUUGGAAUACGCGCUCGCCAAGAUGAAGCAAGAGAAGGAUAGGUGGGAAGAUCGUUUCCAUGCUUUGAGUAGAAAGCAUGAGGAGUUGUAGCUUGAGUCUAAGGACAAAGAUGCACUUAUUGAGCUUCUUGAAGAUCGGGUAAUGAAGAGACAGAGAGAACUAGAGGGUCCAUCUUCCUCUAGUAUGUCUCAGCCUUCCAUCGCUUGGAAGAAGAUUGUUGAUCAACUUGUCCUUGAGAAGGCUCAGAUGAAGACUUCUUUUGAAUCCGAGAUUCGACGCAUUCGAAGGAAGUAAGCACCUACAGUUAGAUCUUCUAAUGUUGUUAUUAGGGAUCCUUAGAAUGACUAGUCUCCUUUUCUCUUGUAUUUUGUACUUUUGGAUUCUGAAAUUGUACUCAGUGUAAUCCUUCCAAUUAUAUAAAUAAAAGAGAUUUUUAUGGUCAAUCAAAUUGUUGCAAUCGUUUUUAUCAUAUAUAUUUGAAAAUAAUAUAGUAAGUUCCUUGGAAAAUAAAAACAAUCAAGCAUUGCAUUUCAUGCAUCAUUUGCAUACAGGUUUCUCUUCCGCCAGAUGUCUUAUUGGUAUUUCUUAUGUGCUUCAGCCAAGCUGACUCAUCGAUACAAUACUCGCGCAAAUCACUCAAGGAUCAUGGAACAUCUGGAGCAAGAGAACAGAGAUUUGAAGGACGAGAUCGCCCGCUUGACUGCCAUGAUGGAGUCAGUGUUAGCCGCUCAUAGCCAAUCUUCUCCAACACCUGCAACUCCUCCUCCUCAGAGGACUGUUAUUUCCGAGGUUGCUACCUCUAUCAUUCCUGCUACUGCUGCUCACUUUGCACCGGCCAUGUGUCGCAUCUCGAAAAAUACGAUUCCUCGCGAUGGUCGCGGAAAAAAUUAAUGUUCGAAUAGAGUUGCCAUCGAACUUAAUUUAUCCCAAUGAAGGGAUAGUAAAAUAUCGAUAAAACCUUUAGGAAAUGGAAUAAUGGUCGUCGCAACCAUAUUCGAGUUCGGGAGUGGAUUACGUAAGGGGAAGGUAUUAGCACCCCUUACGUCCGUUGUACUCAACGGGAACCUUUAAACCUUUAGGAAAUGGAAUAAUGGUCGUCGCAACCAUAUUCGAGUUCGGGAGUGGAUUACGUAAGGGGAAGGUAUUAGCACCCCUUACGUCCGUUGUACUCAACGGGAACCUUUUAGUUCUAAUGUGCGUUUCAUGUGUUAAUUUAUGUUUGUUUGUUAUUUUUGGGUUAUACAAUUGUAAAAAAUAGAAAUGGACGAGAACCUCAGAAAGGGAAAGGGGAGGUUUUUUAUUAGUGUGCUCGCGAAGGUACAACAAUCUCCUACCUACGUAUCCUUAUGGUAUAAUAAGGAAAUCAGAGCAUUCGUAGUUCGGGGAACUACGAUUGGUUGGUGUUUUUUAAUGAACAACUGUUUAGACUGCGUUUCUAAAGGCUAAACGUUGGCUUGUCUAGUCUCGGCGGAGGCUUAAGCACUAGUUUGCUGUGCGCAUUAGAAAGGAUUAACAAUGUUCUUUCUGAAAAUAGUUUUGGUCACAUGGGGGUGACAAGUUGGACUAAUAUGUUGGAUGUUUUGAUUGGUUGAGAUGUUUUUGGUUGAAUGACGAUUACUCUGAUAGUUGAGUAAGACAACUCGUAUCCUAACAGUCGGGAAAGGGAAUAGAAGACUCUAGACCACUUUCUUUUUCAUCCUUAAUUAUAGAAAGGAUUUGAUAAUAAUUAGGGUGUUUUGAGUGGAUGACGAAUACUCGGAUAAUCGAGUAAGACAACUCGUAUCCUAAUAAUCGGGAAAGGGAAUAGAAGACUCUAGACCGCUUUCUGUUUCAUUCUUAAUUAUAAAAAGGAUUUGAUAAUUGUAAGACCCCAAUUUUGACCCUAAGAUCCCUCAUGGCAUCAUUACAUUGCAUUUACAUUGCCUCAAGGAUCAUGAGCGUCUUGGUUCCCUUUGCCUUUGGGUGGGAUCUCUUGAGAUGUGGUUUGAGAUCACCAAGCAUGCUUGAAUUGUAUAUUAUUGCUUUCCUCAUUUCUUUUAUUAACUCAAAAGCACAAAAAUAUGUCACUAACAUCUUUUAUUUGUAGCUUGAGCAGUCACAAGGUCUAAAGCUUCUAGGAGAUCCUUUGUGCAAUGAUAUGGUCAAGAGAAGAUGAAAGCAAGCAUGGUAAUGGUUCCGAAAGCUCUCAUCCAUCAAAUAUGCCUCCCAAGUAUCUCAAUUCAUCAUUUUGAUCAAAGCAAGUCAAAGGGUUUGAGGUUUGUUUCCCAAGGAAACCUUAAUUCAUAUAUUCAUCAACUGUGCCUUGCUCUUGAAGAAACCUCAACCCAUGGUCAAAAAAAAAUCAAGGGAAGUUCUUUAAUUCAUCAUUUCAUGCAUUUUUGAACUUAUUUGAGUGUCCUCAAUCAUAAGUUCAUCAAGAUAUAAGUUUUGGACUUGAGAAGUUGAUCAGUCAAUUCAUCUGACCAUUUUGAAAUGCAUUGAGACCUAACUUUUUAUGUGUUAGUCCAAUGGAGAUGACCCCAAGAGAAAUAUUGUUAUUAAGGACAAUAUGAACAACUUUCAUGUUCAUCAAAAUUUAAUUUGAAGCUUGGAAGGUCAUCAUCCAUUCCAAGACAUUAUAGGUCAUUUUGACUGAAACCCUAAUUUUGGGUCAACUUCCCAAGGACCUAAGUCCUUCAUUUUUCAUGAUUUGGAGGUGGGAUCAAAUGAAUUGGAAAGCUUAAUGUUUGUAAUUCAAAUGUUAUGUUGAGAAAAAUUACAAAAUCCCAAAAGAAAUACAUGUGAUAAUGCAAAACAUUAUAGGUCACUUUGGGCCAACUGCAUUGAAAUGUGAAAAAGUCCAACUUCAAGUGCCCAUAACUUCAUCAAAAAUCCAAAUGAUGCAAAAUUUAAGUCCAAAUUUAUUUUCUUGAAAAUAUCUACAACUUUCAUGUUGAAGAUUGUAUUAUUUGGAGCUUGCAUCAUUGAGACAGAGGGGCUUGAACAUUGGCCAAUUUUGGAAAUUUCACAUAUGCAUGUUUUGCACCUUACACUUCAAGCUUAAUUUUCAUUAAUUUCCAAGGCCCAAUUGGAUUUUUGAUCAACAUAGCAUUUGUUCCUUAUGCAAUAAGCUUUCCAACCAUUACCCAUAAGCCUAUGUUUCAAUUUUGGAAGUAUUAUUUUCGAAGAGGAGAACUUUUUAGUGCAUUUUUGGAAACUUGAUUCAAUUGCCAUGCAUGAGCUCACACAACCUAAUUUGCACGUCCAUUUCAUUCAUUUAUGAUAUAAGCCUGCAAUUCCAAUCAGAAUUGGGCCCUCCAUGCGCCUGUACAGGCCCAUGCAUGAAGGCCCUCUUCUCCGAUGCACACUUUGUUCAUGCAUAUCAGUUGGCUUUGGCUAUAAAUACAUGGCAUGUGAGCUCUUAUUUCUUAACCUGAAGGCACCUGAACCUCUGCUGAACUCAAAACCUACCCUCACCAAAGGAACUUUUCUCUUUCUUUCAAAAAUAUCAGAUCUGAAAUUCAAUUGCAUCGAUUGAUUUUUAAGAUCCAUAGUUCCUAGACCUCUUCAGCUUGAUCCAUAGAAGCUUCUGUUUGCAAAAGAACUCAAAGAUAGUGACUCAAUUCAGCUCAAUUCCAAGGUUUUGCUCAACUGCAUUUUGCUUCAAAACAGCUCAUAUAUUGUUCCAUUUGCCUUGAUUUUGUGUGAUUUGAAGUCCUCUGCAUAGAGGCAUCAUUAUUGUGUUCUUAAUUUUUGAAAUCAAGCAAGUUCAGUUGAACACCACCAAAGUUCCAUCUCUGAUUUCUCUCUCAAUAGGGAUCUAGAGUGGAAUUGAGUAAUAGAGGCAUCAUUAUUGUGUUCUUAAUUUUUGAAAUCAAGCAAGUUCAGUUGAACACCACCAAAGUUCCAUCUCUGAUUUCUCUCUCAAUAGGGAUCUAGAGUGGAAUUGAGUGGCAUAGGAGUGACGUACAUCACUCCACCUUUCAUUUGGUACCUGGAUCGUGCGUUUUGGUGCACAUUUGUUCUUCUACAAAUUUGAGCUCUCACCGGAGCUAUCCGGAGAAGACGGUGGCGCUGACCCCUGUCUGGUCUCCAGAUCCAAUCGUGGUCGUCCAUUUUCAUUUCCAGAUUAGAUUUAGGUUGUCCGAUGUUAUGACCAUUUUUAAUUGUUUGUGUGGUUGCAUUGACUCACGUGUAUUAUGGAAGCGUGCUCAGAUCCGUCUGAUCUGCCAGGUCAAUUAAUGAACUGGAUCCAACGCCUCUCCUUUUUUCUUAUUUUUAAUUUCUGAUUUCUAUUUUCUUUUAUUUCUUUUAAUUCCAUUUUAUUUCUAAAAUCCAUAUCUCUUUCAUUAUUGGUCCAAAAAUUAUGGGACCAAUUGCAUUAUUUCUCUUUUAAUUUCUAGUUUCUAAAAAUGAUUUUUAAUAUUUUUUAUUUUGUCAUUUGCUAUUUUUUAAUAAUUUUCUCUUUUCUGGUUAUUUUUAAUUCAUUUUAAAUAGUUUUUCAGAUCCAAAAAAUACCAAAAUAUUUUCUCAACCUCUUUGAACGAUGAUAGAUCUAUGAAAAAUAUUUUCAUCAAUUUAUUAAUUGAUUUGAGAUUUAUUUGAGAUUUUAGUUCAAUUAGGUUAUUUUUAUGCAUUUUUAAUUGAUCAAAAAUAGUUUCUGACUUUUAUAAAUGUUGAAAUUUUUUGUCAAACUUUUUUUGACCUUGUUGAACUUAGGAUAAUUCACUUGGACUUUUCAAAGUUGAUUUGAAGUGAGUUUGAAGUUUGACCUUUCUUUAAUAUUUUAAUUCAAGUUUUAUUUUAAAUAUUAAAAAAUGCCAAAAAUAUUUUGUUUAUUUCUUGACUUCUAAUCUUCAUUUUGCUUCUGUUUUCUAUUGUUUGACCUUGAUCUUCUCUAUCUUUGGUCAUAGCUUGUUGAUUAUCUCAUUCCAUUUCAUUUAAUGCACUUUAAUUCUUCAUGUCUAUUCUUNAGAUUGUUGGCGAACACUUGCCUACGUACCUCUUAAACAAGAUUAGGAUCAAAACCGUCUGUAGUUGGCGUAAAAAUUCAAAAUUGAGUUGGUGAAUUGAUUUGGUCCGAAAGCACUUAAAGGUACUUUUUGUGUUGAUCCAAGGGAGAAAAACUCAAACCUAAAACACAACCCACCAUGUGCAGGAUUAGCUUAACAUGUUAUGAGGGGGUUUAACCCUAUACGAUAAGCAUGGAAGACACAUUGUCCAUCACUAAGGAUAUAGGUGAGUAUUACGAGUCCUAACCUCAAAGCAUAACUCAAGAGCCUGAAUACGCUAAAGGUUUAAAAGAUUUAAUUAAGAAAGUGGCCAUUGAAACCACAAAAGUAUUUGAAUGAUGGUAUUUACGCAAAUGAAUAAGAUAUUUGACAAAAUAUGGUCAAAGGUGAUUUAGAAGUUCAAUUCAAAAAUAAGUGUUAUGAAAAAAGUUUGGGAAAAUCAAAAAAAGCCAUAAGGCUUAGGUUUCCUAAAUGUUGAAAACAAGGUUAAAUGUUGCAAACAAAAGUUUUGGUUUGGGUUUAGAAGGGAGAAGAAGAAUGAAUGGCAAAGUCCUAAUCAUACAUGAAGAGACAAGGGAUAAGAAAACAAGACCAACAAAUGGAGUUCCCUCUCUUUGACGAUCGAUAUUGAUGAAAUCAAGUAGCUCCCAUCUUGGAAUAUGCAAGCAAAAAUUUAAUAGUCGCUCAAGCAAUCAACACAUCAAACAAGCUCCUUAGGCGAAUCCUCAAUGUAUCUGGUUGUAUCUUUCACUUGGAUGAACAUUGGCAAUGGUUCCUUUUAACUCUUGAGCUCUCAUAGGAUCCCCUAGCACAAAAAGCACACACAUCAAAAAGUUCUAUGAAAGUAAAUCAAGAAUGGAACAAGAGUGUUGAGUUUGGGUCCUUCUAGUCCAUCUCAACAUUAAAGGUCCUUGUUACUCCAAUUUGCCAUAGGAAAGUUCUAGAAACUAAGUCGCAUUUGUCCAUAUUCUUUGCAUUUGGUCCACAAACAAUCAAAACAAAAACACAAGCACAAUUAAUUAUACUACACAAUUACGUGUGCUCAAAGUGAGCAAGAAGCAAUUGCAUUAAACAUACAUGUGCUAAAUGAGCAGAAGGGAAAAGAAAUGAUAUAUGUAAGAUAUAGUUAAAUUGAUAAAGUAAGUGCAAGAGUAAAUGUUAAUGGUUAAUUGUUAGUGUUAGUAGUUCAGGUGUCAUAGGCAUUUAAGCGCUAUGUUAAGCAAAUCGUAAUGGAGUUAUUGUGAAGUCACACUAUCUGAGGCGGUUAAUAGUAUAUUUAUGGCAACACAACAAGGUUAGAGGUCUUGAUUGUGAAUCAACACUCUACAACUUGCCAUGGCGCAGAAAGAAGAUGAGAAUGAUCUUGUUUGGUUUAGGUCCUUUUGCAUGUUUUAGAAAGCAAUCUUCCGUUAAUGGAAAGCCAUUCACUUUGAUCAUGUGAUCAAGUGAUUAGAUUUGAAUUCAAGGAAGAUUAAAACCUCCCUAUCAAUGCUAACCAUCGAACCUUUAACUCAUUGAUAAAAAAAGAAAAGAAGAAGAGAAGAAGAUGAAGAAAGUGAAAGAUAGCAUGAAGAAUUAAAGUGCAGCUUAAAUGAUCUCUUGUAUGAUUAGGACUUUAGCCAUUCUUCUUCUUCCCUCCACUCUAACCCAAACCAAAACUUUUGUGCAAACAUUUAACACUUGUUUUCAAACAUUAGAAACCUAAGCCUUAUGCUUUUGAUUUCCAAACUUUCUUUUCAUAACACUUAUUUUGAAUUGAACUUCUAAAUCAACUUUGACCAUAUUUUGUAAAUACUUUUCAUUGGUAAAUACCAUUCAUUCAAAUACUUUUGUGGUUUCAAUGGCCACUUUCUUAAUUAAAUCUUUUAUAACCUUUAGCUAUUAGGUUUGAGUUAUGCUUGAGGUAGAUGUAAUACUCACCUAUAUCCUUAGUGAUGGACAAUGAGUCUUCCAUGCUUAUUAUAGGGUUAACCCCUCACUAACAUGUUGAAGCUAUCCUCACAUGGUGGGUUUGUGGUUUUAGGUUGAGUUUUCUCCCUUGGAUAACAAAAGACCUUAAGGCUUUUGGACCAAUCAAUUCACCAACUCAUUUUUUGAAAUUUUUACCCCAAACUACGAGGUUUUGAUCCUAAUCUUUUUUAAGAUGGUACGUAGGCAAUGGGUUUAUCCAUCCAAACACAAAAAUGUAAAUAACUUGCAUAUUCUCUUCUCAUCUCUUCAAUCAUGUUUGCACAAACAAAUUUUCACAAAAUACCAACCUUACAACAAGUGUGAAAAGGGCUCCCUAGGAGUACCUAGGAUGUUUUGGGUGCUUAAAACCUUCCCAUUGCAUAACCAACCCCCUUACCCCGAUCUCUGACAUUUUUACUAGUUUUUAAUUCGAUAAAAUUUUUAGGUUUUUAUUCGCUUUCUAACCAUUCCUUUGAAUAAAUAGAAGUGCGGUGGCGACUCGACUUGUAUGGUUUACCUUAGAUUUAGUCAAUAUCUCUAAUGGUAACGAAUACCCCACUACAAUAAUAAUUAAGGUGUUUUGAAUGGAUGACGAUUACUCGGAUAAUCGAGUAAGACAACUCGUAUCCUAAUGGUCGGAAAAGGGAAUAGAAAACUCUAGACCACUUUCUCUUUCAUCUGAGUGGUUAUGAAAAUAAGUUUACGUAUGGUUGAUGUAUUUUUAGAAUAGACGACAAGUACUUGAAUGGUUGAGUAAGACAACUCAUAUCCAAGCAUUUGAGGAGAGGAAUCUAAGGCUCAAGACCAUCUCCCUUUUCGUAUAGUUUGUUAUGAAAAUGAUUUGAUUAAGUUGUAUGUUUGUGGAAAAAUGACAAUUGCUCGACUGGCCGAGUAAGAGAACUCGUAUUCAAGCAAUUGAGGAGAAAAGUUGAAAACUCAAAGUCAUCUCCCUUUUCAUUUCUUAUUAUGAAAAUAAUUUGAUUUAGUCGGGUUUGGAAGUUUGUAGAGGAACGACAAUUAUUUGACUAACCAAGUAAGAGAACUCGUAUUCAAAUAAUCGAGGAGAAAAAUUGAAGACUCAAAGUCAUCUCCCUUUUCCUUUCUUAUUAUAAAAGAGUUUGAUUUAUUUGUUCUUAAGUGGGUGGAAGUGACGACUAUUUGACUAACCGAAUAAGAGAACUCGUAUUCAAAUAAUCGAGGAGAGGAAUUGAAAACUCAAAGCCACCCCCCUUUUCAUUUCCAAAUGAAAUGUUGUUUGAUUGUGAUUGGAUACGUUCUUUUAAUUUUUAAUGAAAAUACUCGACAUUGGAUUGAGGUUUUGAUUUUGUGUUUAUGAAUGAAAUGAAUUUUAUUUUAGUGUAUUAUUCUUCUACUCGAUUAAUUAAUAACUGGAUAGGUCUCAUUGUAAGAAAGCCCAAGAGUAAGCUAUGUGAGGUUGAUGGCGAUACUUUUACAAGUAAUCGACUUACAAAGGCGUUUUGAAAAUGGGCUCGACUUUGAAUCGAGAAGUAUGUGUUUUAUUUUUUUGAAAUUGGCUCGAAUGAUUUUAAAUUGGUGAUAACGACAUAAUCUCGUCAUAAUUAUAACAUGUCAUCCAUAUGCACUCGAGACUCGGUAUAAAUAAAUAAAUACAAAAUAAUCAUGCACAUACACUCCACAAAAAUCAACAAUUAUCUAAAUUAUAAGUGAUAUUAAUAAUAAUAUAAUUAAUUAAUUAAAUAUUUAGUAGAUUAUUUUGAUUAAAUAAUAAGUAAUUAAAAAAAUGAUGAUAUAACCAAAUAAUUGCAUAUUUAUCAUUAAAUAUUAAUAAUAGUAAUAACAAUAUAAUUGUGUAUUUACUAUUAAGUACUAAUAAUAAUAAUGAUAAUAAUAAUAAUAAUAUAUAAUUAUAACUUUGAAAGAAAGUAAAUAAAAUAAAAUAAAUGAAAUUAAAGUAAAAAAAUAUUUAAAUUUUGUAAAAUAAUUAAACAACUAUCAUUAGGAAUUAAACUAUUAUAUAUAUAUAUAUAUAUAUAUAUAUAUAUAUAUAUAUAUAUAUAUAUUAUAAGUAUAUAUGUAAAAAAUAUAAAUAAAAAAGAAAGAAUAAGUCAAAAAAUAAAGAAAAUGGGCUAGUGGUGGUGAAAAAUUAAUAAAAUAAUUUAAUCAAAUUAAAUCAAAGAUACCGAUGAAUUAAUUUAAAUAAAAUAGGGUCUACUUAGGAUAUUUAAGUAAUUUAGAUUAACAAAAAUAAUUCAGGAUAAUGAGUCAUUAAAUUAAAAAAAUUAGUAAAUUGAAUUGUUAGUUAACUAAUUGAAGCUAAUUGUUAGCUAACAUGAUUAUCUUUUAAAUCCUCCACACAGUAAAACAGAAGAAAAAGAAAUGGGCUAAAACCGAAUUUAAUGAAAAAUAGGAAUAAACAAAUGUGCUUUUUUUGACUGAACAUAUGCUAUAUUCUAAUAUGCAAUGUCACCUAGUAUUCAAAGUUAAUUUAUUGUUUUUUAUUAAUGAUGCAUUGAAUAAAAUAACAAAUAGGGGUGGCUGUCAGCAUAGCCCACACGGUAUCCCCAAGAAAAAUCAAUUACUCACCAUAAGAACCUUCCAUAUACUAACAUAUGACACCUAAUGAUGUUUAAAGAGAAAUAAACAAUAAUAAAUGAAAAUUAAAGUAAUGCUUGGAUAUUUUAAAAAACGUAAGGACGAAAAACGUUCCUUCACAAAACCAAUGCACCUCUUUCUUAAUCUAACACCCUUUCCUCCUAUCCAUUUCUUCUCUCCAAAAGGGUUUAUGAAAAAAAAGUUCAGUUCACCAUCAAGUUUAUCGCACAACAAAAAUAUUCAAACACAAAGAUCUACCUCAAACGAUACAAAACCCCAAAUCUCAAAAUUAGCAACGAAAUUUUGCAAACAAAAGUUUAUCGCACAACAAAAAUAUUCAAACACAAAGAUCUACCUCAAACGAUACAAAACCCCAAAUCUCAAAAUUAGCAACGAAAUUUUGCAAACAACCUCCAAAAGACCCAAAUCGUGACUUUACAAAAAAAAAACUAAAAAUUGAAACAAAUCGAACCAUCAUCAUCAAUAAAUUCAAGCAAUCUAAAGGAGGCUCCUACUCAGUUAAUCACGACAAACAUGCAGGCACAAUCAAUUUGGAUCCAAACAUGAAGAAAUUUACCUGACCGAAGCUAGUUCAACGAAGUUCUCUCCGGCAACCCUCAGAUAACUCUAUUUCCUCUUCUUUUCGGUUUUACGAUGGCCUCCUCCUUCUGUUUUGAUGUUGUGUUAUCCUUUAAUGUUAGGGUUUUUUGUGUUUUUUACAAAAUAUUUUUUGAUUUGUUCUGCUCGGAUCCUCAAAAACGUGUGUUCUGUUUCUUUUGAGUUAACAAAGAAAAGAUUACUUUGACAAUUUCUUCUGGAUUUUAUUAAAACGUGUUACUGUUAAUUAGUUUUGUGGUUUAUAUACAUGAAUGUUGGUUUAUGUGAUAUAACUUGUUGGAUCCUAUUUCCAGAUUUUGUGGUAUGAUUAAUCUAUGGAUUUAAAGUUGUUUAUUUGGAUAAUGCAGUGUGUUUCUGAGCGCUUCCUUUGAUUCAUUGUGUAACAUAUUAAUUUGCUCUUUCUAUUAAUUAUUUUCCAGGUUUUUAAGUGCUUAUUUGAUAAGAUGUUUUUAAUUUUGAAUUGGUUUUGCAGGUUAAGUGAUAUUGAUGCUGAUUGAUUGAAAAAGGGGCGCUGUUAUUCAACAGGUUUUGGAAAAGUUCUGAAGAGUUGCUUUUGAAUUGGGAACUUCCAAAAGAGCUUUUGGAAAAGUCUGUGAAAUUUGCUUCAAACUGCUGUGUUUACAGCUUAUUCCAAUUUUUUUAAUAAAAUUAUUUCUGAUGUAACAGAGACUUUUUGGAUUAUGAACUUAGGGACUGCUUGUAACAUGUACAAAUUUAAUUUGGAAUUUCUCUUUUUGGACAAUUAUGUAAUUGUUUUGGAUUAUUAGGAAUUUGGGAUUAGUUAGGAUAUAUUAAACUGUAAGAAAAAUUGGGUUAGACGUGUAACCCUUUGGAUCAUUUGCAAAAUUUACAUAAUUUUAAUUUAAGUUUUUUUGUUAUUUAUGUGGAUACUUUUGGGUUAUUAUGUAACAUUUGGAUUAAAUAGGAAUAUGAUUUGGGAAUAUUAUUUGUGUAAUUAGUCUCUCUUUCUUUUUUUUUUAAAGAAAAAUUAAACUUUGUCUUAAC
rnacentral:lncRNA from 1 species